UACGUAGGGGGCUAGCGUUGUCCGGAAUCAUUGGGCGUAAAGCGCGCGUAGGCGGCCAGAUAAGUCCGGUGUGAAAGUCACAGCUCAACCUGUGAAUGCCGCUGAAACUGUCUGGCUUGAGUCCGGGAAGGGGCGAGUGGAAUUCCUGGUGUAGCGGUGAAAUGCGCAGAUAUCAGGAGGAACACCAAUGGCGAAGGCAGCUCGCUGAACGGUACUGACGCUGAGGCGCGAA
rnacentral:rRNA from 1 species